rnacentral:rRNA from 1 species
UACGUAGGGUGCGAGCGUUGUCCGGAAUUACUGGGCGUAAAGAGCUCGUAGGUGGUUUGUCGCGUUGUUCGUGAAAACCGGGGGCUUAACCCUCGGCGUGCGGGCGAUACGGGCAGACUUGAGUACUGCAGGGGAGACUGGAAUUCCUGGUGUAGCGGUGGAAUGCGCAGAUAUCAGGAGGAACACCGGUGGCGAAGGCGGCCACCUGGACGGUUACUGACGCUGAGGCGCGAAAGCGUGGGGAGCAAACAGG